rnacentral:rRNA from 1 species
GAGUUUGAUCCUGGCUCAGAAUCAACGCUGGCGGCGUGCCUAACACAUGCAAGUCGCACGAGAAAGGGACUUCGGUCCUGAGUACAGUGGCGCACGGGUGAGUAACACGUGAAUCAUCUACCUCCGAAUGGGGAAUAACUGAGAGAAAUCUUAGCUAAUACCGCAUAAUACCUACGGGUCAAAGCAGCAAUGCGUUUGGAGAGGAGUUCGCGGCCGAUUAGCUAGUUGGCGGGGUAAUGGCCCACCAAGGCGAUGAUCGGUAUCCGGCCUGAGAGGGCGCACGGACACACUGGAACUGAAACACGGUCCAGACUCCUACGGGAGGCAGCAGUGGGGAAUUUUGCGCAAUGGGGGAAACCCUGACGCAGCAACGCCGCGUGGAGGAUGAAGUAUCUUGGUACGUAAACUCCUUUCGAUGGGGAAGAUAAUGACGGUACCCAUAGAAGAAGCCCCGGCUAACUUCGUGCCAGCAGCCGCUGUAAU